rnacentral:rRNA from 1 species
GCAGCGCUGACCGCCGGGUGCGAUGCUUAUCAGACCUAAAACCCCGCGCGGGCAGUCGCCGCGUGGCUGCCCCCGGCCUGUUUUGGUGCUCUAGAUAACCUUGGCCAUCGCUCGCCCUCGCAGCGGCGACGACUCAUUCGAAUGGUCUGCCCUAGUCACUUUCGAUGUACUCUAUGUGGACCUACCAUGGUGACCACGGGUAACGGGGAAAUCAGGGCAUUCCGGAGAGGGAGCCUGAGAAAUGGCUACCACAUCCAAGGAAAGGCAGCAGGCGCGCAAAUUGACCCAUUCACGGACUCGUGAGGUAGUGAGAAAAAAAGACAAUACAGGACUCUUUCGAGGCCCUGUAAUGGGAAGUGAGUGUACUUUUAAAAAUCCUUGGCCGAUGCAGUACCAAUUGAGAGGGCAAGUCUGUGACCAGCAGCCGCGUUACAGGGAGGAGACGGGGGAACGGGAAGGUAUUCCAGCUCCAUAGGUUAAUCUCUUAAAGUUGCUGCCACGUGUAAAAAGGUCUGUUAGUGGGAUCUCAGGGCCGGGCUGAACGGUCCCCGAAAGGCGCUCCACCGACGGUCCCGGCCCCUAGCCCUCGCGCCCCUCGAUGCUGCUUGUUGAAGUGUCUUGCGGGGUUCGAAGCGAGAUUUACUUUGAAAAAAUUAGAGUGUUUCAAAAGCAGGCCCAGUUGUCGACGAAUACUGCAGCUAGGAAUGAAGAAUGAGGACUCGGUUCAUUUUGUGGGUUGUUCAAUUGGACUGGGCCAUGAUAAAGAGGGGACGGCCGGGAGGCAUUCGUAUUGGCGCCGCUAGAGGAGGUGAAAUUCUUGGACCGGCGCAAGACGCGAACGAAAGCGAAAGCAUUUGCCAAAAGAAUGUUUCAUAAUCAAGAACGAAAGUGGUAGGUUCGGAAGACGAUCAGAUACAUCGUCGUAGUUCCGACCAUCACGAUGCGACGAGCGAUCCGGCGCGUUAUUCCCAAUGACCCGCCGGGGAGCUAGACCCGGGAAACAACGUCUUUGGGUUCGAGGGGGAGUUAUGGUUGCCAAAGCUGAAAACUUGAAGGAAUCUUACGGAAGGGGCACCACAGGAGUGGAGGCCUGCGGCUUAAUUUGACUCAACACGGAAACCCACCCGCGCCGGGACACGGAAAGGGAUGGACAGGAUUGAUAGCUCUUGCUCGAUACUGGGGGUUGAGUCGGUGCAGCCGUUCUAGUUGGGGAGCGAUUUGUCUGGAAUUCCGACAGAACGAACGAGACUCUGGCAGGCUAAAAGUUACGCGCCCGUGCGCGUCGCGCACGUCCAGAACUUGUAGAGGGACAAGUGGCGUACAGCCACACGAGAUGAGCAAUAACAGGUCGGUGAUGCCCUUAGAUGUCCGGAGGCUGCGACGGCGCGCCACACUGAGCGGGAUAUCAGCGUGUGCACUGCCUUCGCGACGAGGCAGGGGGGAUACCCGCUGAACCCGCUUGAUGGGAUUGGGGAUGCAAGCUAAUGUCCCGACAAUUGAAACGAGGAAUUCCAGUAAGCACGGGUCACAAGCUCGGAUUGAUUAAAGUCCCUUGCCCUUUGUACACCACCGGGCCGGCGGCGCUACUACGCGAUUGAGGAUGGCUUAGUGAGGUCUCGGGAUCGGCCGCCGCCGAAAGGCUUCACCGGCUCUGGCGCGCCGUGCCAGAAGGACGAUCAAACUUGAACUAUUAGAGGAGAGUAAAAGCGGUAACCCAAGGUUUCGCGUAGGUGAACCAUGCGGAAG